CCUACGGGAGGCAGCAGUGAGGAAUAUUGGUCAAUGGCCGGAAGGCUGAACCAGCCAAGCCGCGUGAAGGACGAAGGUGCCAAGCAUUGUAAACUUCUUUUGUCAAGGGACAAAAUCAGGCUCGAGAGCCUGACCGCGGGUACUUGAAGAAAAAGCAUCGGCUAACUCCGUGCCAUCAGCCGCGGUAAUACGUAGGGGGCAAGCGUUAUCCGGAUUUACUGGGGGUAAAGGGAGCGUAGACGGCAAGGCAAGUCUGGAGUGAAAGCCCGUGGCUCAACCACGGGACUGCUUUGGAAACUGUGUUGCUGGAGUGCAGGAGGGGUAAGCGGAAUUCCUAGUGUAGCGGUGAAAUGCGUAGAUAUUAGGAGGAACACCGGUGGCGAAGGCGGCUUACUGGACUGUAACUGACGUUGAGGCUCGAAGGCGUGGGGAGCAAACAGGAUUAGAUACCCCUGUAGUC
rnacentral:rRNA from 1 species